AUUGAACGCUGGCGGCAGGCCUAACACAUGCAAGUCGAACGAGCGGCGGACGGGUGAGUAAUGUCUGGGGAACUGCCCGAUAGAGGGGGAUAACUACUGGAAACGGUGGCUAAUACCGCAUACCAUCGGAUGUACCCAUAUGGGAUUAGCUAGUAGGUGGGGUAAAGGCUCACCUAGGCGACGAUCCCUAGCUGGUCUGAGAGGAUGACCAGCCACACUGGAACUGAGACACGGCCCAGACUCCUACGGGAGGCAGCAGUGGGGAAUAUUGCACAAUGGGCGCAAGCCUUAUGCAGCCAUGCCGCGUGUAUGAAGAAGGCCUUAGGGUUGUAAAGUACUUUCAGCGGGGAGGCGUUACCCGCAGAAGAAGCACCGGCUAACUCCGUGCCAGCAGCCGCGGUAAUUC
rnacentral:rRNA from 1 species